AAAAAUGUUGACCCCACUGGUACAUGCUCGAAGUAAGAGUUCUAGCUUCACCCCAACUCUUCAGUCACUCCAGGUAAAUCAGGACAGAAUAUUUUGUGAUAAUUUUUUAUUUUUUUUUAAAUGCGUGCAGUUUAUUUUUAAGCAUCCAUCAAGAGGGUAUUCUGUUAUAUAUUUGUAUAUGCUACUUUCUCCCAUCCGUCAUAGUAGGUUAAGUAACAUUUAUAAAUGGUGUUGGUGCUUUUACCUUACAUUGGUAGAUAUAGCAGUUGUAGAUUUGUUGCAUUGUUGCAUAUGAUUAUUCGAAUGGCGUUAAACAGUUGAAUAUUUAGAUAAAUUGUGAGACCCUGAAUUUUAUGAAAUGAAAGUAUUCAAUUUUCUUAUAAUUAUUCUAUUUAGUAAAUGGUUAAAUUGAUAAAAGGUUAAAGUUAAGGGUGAUAUGUGAAAAAUUUUCAAAGUAAACAAGUUAUCAUAAAUAUAAUCGGUGAUAAAAGUAUAGUAAUACGCGUGGUUGCAUAGUAGGACACAGUAUUGUACAGUAUCUUUGAUUAUUGAUGCUUACGUGAAAAGUCACUCAGUUUUAUUCAAUUAUUGUCAUAAUAUUUUAUAUUCAAUAAUUGAGACGACAAAGUUAUUCAUAUUAUUAUUUGCAAUAUUGACGAUGUCUAGAAGUUCUGUCAAGGAGAGGUUAGGUAAUCUAAUUUCGCGCCAAUAGGGAGAAUCCUUAUCGGAAAGCCCCCUCUUUCCUGAGAAUGAUCUGGUUGUUAAAUAUUGUGAGUUAUAAUAUUAAUGAUGAAUAAGUUCGUGUUGAUUAAAAAUGAAAUUGAUAGUUCCAUUGUGUUGGAAUUAUUAGUGUUGGUGAAAAUCGACAUUUAUUUCGAUAAUAAUUGAUGUUUGGAGGUUAUAUUGACCAAUCGGAUAAUUAAUCGGAUAAAUGAGAAAUUAAUUGCUAUUAAUUCAUGAUAAGUGGUAUUUUUACCUACUUAUUGAAUAUCAAUUCAUGCGAAUUGUGCCCAUCUCAAGUACAUUUUAUUCUGUUUUAGUUGCAUUUCAUGUUAUUUUGCAUUGCAUUUACUUAAAACUCCUUUUGGUGAAUAAGUGCAGGAAUCGGCUUAAUUUGGUGGUAUUAGAGGGCACGAGGCUAAUGGAUGCGUGAAGGCGAGGCACAAGCGAGGAUGUGCAUGGCAUGGAGGUACAAUGAAGCAUGAAGACCAAGCAUGAAAGAAGAUCAAGCAUGAAAGAACAAGUAGCAGCAGCAGCAGCAUAACAGAAGCAGAACCAGAAUCAGAACAUGUAGACUGAAGGUCGCGCAGCCGCGCAACAGAAGAGCCUGGGGAGCGCGCGCCCGCGCGAGAACUCAGCUGGACAGGGCAAACUUUUUGCAAGUCUUACGCCCGCGCGAGGGACAUACCGAAGGAGC
rnacentral:lncRNA from 1 species